rnacentral:rRNA from 1 species
AACGAACGCUGGCGGCAUGCCUAACACAUGCAAGUCGAACGAAACUUUCGGGUUUUGUGGCGCAGGGCUGCGUACGACGGGGGAAUUUGCCCUUGGGUCCGGAAUACUAGAUGGAAAGGUAAGCUAAUACAGGUGGAGCUCGUAGCCCCAAGGAUUUCCCGCCCAGGGAUGAGCCCGCGUAGGAUUCGCUGGUUGGGGGGGUAAAGGCCUGCCAUGGCGUCGUUCCUUGGCUGGUUUGAGAGGAGGAUCAACAGUGCUGGGACUGAGACACGGCCCAGACUCCUACGGAGGGCAGCAGUAGGGAAUAUUGGACGAGGGGCGAAGACCUAGUCCAGCAAUGCCGCGUGAGAGGUGAAGGCCUUUGUGUUGUAAAGCUCUUUUACCCGGAGUGAUAAUGACAGUAACGGGAGAAUAAGCCCCGGCUAACUCCGUG